rnacentral:rRNA from 1 species
UACGAAGGGGGGCUAGCGUUGCUCGGAAUCACUGGGCGUAAAGCGCACGUAGGCGGCUUGUUAAGUCAGGGGUGAAAUCCUGGAGCUCAACUCCAGAACUGCCUUUGAUACUGGCGAGCUUGAGUUCGGGAGAGGUGAGUGGAACUGCGAGUGUAGAGGUGAAAUUCGUAGAUAUUCGCAAGAACACCAGUGGCGAAGGCGGCUCACUGGCCCGAUACUGACGCUGAGGUGCGAAAGCGUGGGGAGCAACAGGAUUAA